rnacentral:rRNA from 1 species
GACAGAGGGUGCAAACGUUGUUCGGAAUUACUGGGCGUAAAGCGUGUGUAGGCGGCUGUUCAAGUCGGGUGUGAAAGCCCCGGGCUCAACCCGGGAAGUGCACUCGAUACUGGAUGGCUUGAGUCUUGGAGAGGUUGGUGGAAUUCUCGGUGUAGAGGUGAAAUUCGUAGAUAUCGAGAGGAACACUCGUGGCGAAGGCGAGCUACUGGACAACAUCUGACGCUGAGGCUCGAAGGCUAGGGGAGCAAAAGGG